rnacentral:rRNA from 1 species
CAAUAGCGUAUAUUUAAGUUGCUGCAGUUAAAAAGCUCGUAGUUGGAUUUCGGGUGGGAAUGGCCGGUCCGCCGUUUCGGUGUGCACUUGCUACGCCCACCUUGCUGCCGGGGACGUGCUCUUGCGUUUCGGCUCGGGACACGGAGUCGGCGAGGUUACUUUGAGUAAAUUAGAGUGUUCAAAGCAGGCCUACGCUCUGAAUACAUUAGCAUGGAAUAACACGAUAGGACUCUGGCCUAUCUUGUUGGUCUGUAGGACCGGAGUAAUGAUUAAGAGGGACAGUCGGGGGCAUUCGUAUUUCAUUGUCAGAGGUGAAAUUCUUGGAUUUAUGAAAGACGAACUACUGCGAAAGCAUUUGCCAAGGAUGUUUUCAUUAA